rnacentral:sRNA from 2 species
AUGUACCCACGUACAUUCCGGUUCCUCCGCGCCGUCCGCACCCACCUGACGACUGCUCGCUACGUUUUGUCAACC